GACGAACGCUGGCGGCGUGCUUAACACAUGCAAGUCGAACGGAGUGGCGAACGGGUGAGUAACACGUGGGUGAUCUGCCUUGCACUUCGGGAUAAGAUUGGGAAACUGGGUCUCAUACCUGAUAGUGCAAGAUGAGCUAGCGGCCUAUCAGCUUGUUGGUGGGGUAGUGGCCUACACAGGCGUCGACGGGUAGCCGGCCUGAGUGGGUGUACGGCCACAUUGGGACUGAGAGACGGCCCAGACUCCUGCGUGAGGCAGCAGUGGGGAAUAGUGCACAAUGGGCGGAAGCCUGAUGCAGCGACGUCGCGUGGGGGAUGAAGGCCUUCGGUUUGUAAACUCCUUUCGACAGGUACGCGGUACCUGUAUAAGAAGCACCGGCUAACUACGUACCAGCAGCCGCGGUAAUAC
rnacentral:rRNA from 1 species